UCUCGUGAGAUGCUAGCUAGUGAUUUAUCUUUUAGUUUCGAAUUGAAUUACACAUCGAGCGAUCUACGGUGCCAUGAAAGGCACCUUUUCAGCUUGUGCAAUAGGAAUGGGCCACAAACAUGGGACCCAAAGACGAUCCGUGGUUGAGGUCAUGGAUUCGAUCCCAAAUCAUCCAAUUAUGGAAAAAGAAGCCAUUAUAACUGAAUCAUGAUAAUCAGCCUUCACAUUAAGGCACCACUUUCAUGCAUCAGUGAUUCUUUGAAGACAACCACAUGCAUUUUUACGAUCAAAGGCGCUAGUGAGGAGUCCAAUGAAACGGACUUGAUCAAAUGACAUAUUUGCUCGACAUUCUUACUUAUAAUCAAAGGAUCUUUCUCUUCAAUCUCUACUCAUCGAAGGAGGCUGCUACGUGUAGAUGGCUAUAUUAUAGUAGCAAGAUCCCUCAAACAUGCACUGUAUGCAUUUUUACGAUUAAGUAGGCUUGUGAUGAGUCUAAUGAAAUAGACUUGGUCCCUCUCAAAUGACAUAUUUGUUCAACUUACAUACUUCUAAUCAAAGAA